UCGAGUCCUGCCAGUGUCG
rnacentral:snRNA from 1 species